UGUUUUGUGUGAGUGUGU
rnacentral:miRNA from 1 species